GCUGAAAAAGGGCAAAAACAUAAUAGCAAACAAAAGUCGUUCCAUCCUCCCGACCGCGUCCUCGCCCAGCCUCUUCGCAU
rnacentral:sRNA from 12 species